rnacentral:rRNA from 1 species
AUUGAACGCUGGCGGCAUGCUUUACACAUGCAAGUCGAACGGCAGCACGGACUUCGGUCUGGUGGCGAGUGGCGAACGGGUGAGUAAUACAUCGGAACGUGCCCAGUUGUGGGGGAUAACUACUCGAAAGAGUAGCUAAUACCGCAUGAGAACUACGGAUGAAAGCAGGGGAUCGCAAGACCUUGUGCUACUAGAGCGGCCGAUGGCAGAUUAGGUAGUUGGUGGGAUAAAAGCUUACCAAGCCGACGAUCUGUAGCUGGGCUGAGGGUACGACGAGCCAGACUGGGACUCAGACACGGCCCAGACACCUACGGGAGGCAGCAGGGGGGAAUUUUGGCCAAUGGGCGCAAGCCUGAUCCAGCCAUGCCGCGUGCAGGAUGAAGGCCUUCGGGUUGUAAACUGCUUUUGUACGGAACGAAAAGACUCCUUCUAAUAAAGGGGGUCCAUGACGGUACCGUAAGAAUAAGCACCGGCUAACUACGUGCCAGCCGCCGCGGUAACAC